CAGCCGCCGCGGUAAUACGGAGGGUGCAAGCGUUAUCCGGAUUUAUUGGGUUUAAAGGGUCCGUAGGCGGACUUAUAAGUCAGUGGUGAAAGCCUGUCGCUUAACGAUAGAACUGCCAUUGAUACUGUAAGUCUUGAGUAUAUUUGAGGUAGCUGGAAUAAGUAGUGUAGCGGUGAAAUGCAUAGAUAUUACUUAGAACACCAAUUGCGAAGGCAGGUUACCAAGAUAUAACUGACGCUGAGGGACGAAAGCGUGGGUAGCGAACAGGAUUAGAGACCCCGGUAGUCCCUGUCUCUAUACA
rnacentral:rRNA from 1 species